AGUGAACGCUGGCGGUAGGCCUAACACAUGCAAGUCGAACGGCAGCACAGUGAGAGCUUGCUCUUACGGGUGGCGAGUGGCGGACGGGUGAGGAAUGCAUCGUAAUCUACUUUUUCGUGGGGGAUAACGUAGGGAAACUUACUCUAAUACCGCAUACGACCUACGGGUGAAAGCAGGGGAUCUUCGGACCUGUCGCGAUUGAAUGAGCCGAUGUCGGAUUAGCUAGUUGGCGGGGUAAAGGCCCACCAAGGCGACGAUCCGUAGCUGGUCUGAGAGGAUGAUAAGCCACACUGGAACUGAGACACGGUCCAGACUCCUACGGGAGGCAGCAGUGGGGAAUAUUGGACAAUGGGCGCAAGCCUGAUCCAGCCAUACCGAGUGGGUGAAGAAGGCCUUCGGGUUGUAAAGCCCUUUUGUUGGGAAAGAAAAGCAGCAGGUUAAUACCCCGCUGUUCUGACGGUACCCAAAGAAUAAGCACCGGCUAACUUCGUG
rnacentral:rRNA from 1 species